rnacentral:tRNA from 1 species
ACUCAAGUAGCUUAAUUUAUAAAGCAUUACAUUGAAGACGUAAAUAUGACCUUAGUCCAUGAGUA